rnacentral:rRNA from 1 species
AGGAAAUAGAUACCCAGGUAGUCCACGCUGUAAACGAUGGGUGCUAGCUGUCGGGAUCCUAGAUCUCGGUGGCGCAGCUAACGCGUUAAGCACCCCGCCUGGGGAGUACGGUCGCAAGAUUAAAACUCAAAGAAAUUGACGGGGACCCGCACAAGCGGUGGAACAUGUGGUUUAAAUUCGAGGCAACGCGAAGAACCUUACCAGGCCUUGACAUGCCCUCUAUAGAAUGCAGAAACGUAUUCUUUCACCUCGGGUGGGAGGAGCACAGGUGCUGCAUGGCUGUCGUCAGCUCGUGUCGUGAGAUGUUGGGUUAAGUCCCGCAACGAGCGCAACCCUCAUUCUCUGUUGCUAACAGGUUAGGCUGAGAACUCUGAGAAAACUGCCGGUGAUAAGCCGGAGGAAGGUGGGGAUGACGUCAAGUCCUCAUGGCCCUUACGGCCUGGGCUACACACGUGUUACAAUGGCGGUGACAAUGCGUCGCUAACCCGCGAGGGUACGCUAAUCGCAAAAAGCCGUCUCAGUUCGGAUUGUACU